AGAACGAACGCUGGCGGCGUGGAUAAGACAUGCAAGUCGAACGCGACUUAUCAGGUUAGCAAUAACUCGGUAAGUUGAGUGGCGAAAGGGUGCGUAACACGUGGGAAUUUACCGAGAAGUGGGGAAUAGCUUGACGAAAGUCAAAUUAAUACCGCAUGUGAUCGAAAGAUCAAAGCCGGGGACCGCAAGGCCUGGCGCUUCUUGAGAAGCCCGCGGCCCAUCAGCUAGUUGGCGGGGUAAAAGCCCACCAAGGCUAUGACGGGUAGCUGGUCUGAGAGGACGACCAGCCACACUGGAACUGAGACACGGUCCAGACACCUACGGGUGGCAGCAGUCGAGAAUUUUUCACAAUGG
rnacentral:rRNA from 1 species